rnacentral:lncRNA from 1 species
UUUAGGAGUUAGGUUUAUGAUUCUUGGGAAUUUUCCUUUUUUGUUCAAUUUUUUUUUACAUAUAAAAUUGAAUACGUCUUUUUGUUAGAUUAUGAUUGUUUCUGCCUGAAUGAAUUCCAUAAUCCAAAUUAUUUUCAAGUUUUAACCCAGAUUCUACUUCGAGUUUCAAUUUUCUAAGCAAAAUGUCAAGUUUUUUUUCCUUACAAAUUCAUUAGUGCUGAAACCUAAACUUUAAUCUUCAUUUUUGAUUUUUAAUAUUUAGGGUUCACAGAUCAAAGAUGAUGACCAAACACAAGAAUACAUUUGCAUUUCACUAUAAAAAAAUACCAAAGAGACAAAAAUGUGCCCUAACAGUGGCAAUUUGGACCUUGGUAGUCUUCAUUGUCGCAAUAUCUCUUCUUCAAACCGACAUGAGAAAUCAUCACAAUCGAUGAUGGAAUGAAUUGAAUAAGUCUUUUUGUUAGAUUGUGUUUGUUUCUGCCUGAAUGAAUUCCAUAAUCCAAAUUAUUUUCAUGUUUUAACCCAGAUUCUACUUCGAGUUUUAAUUUUCUAAGCAAAAUGUCCAAUUUUUUUCCUUACAAAUUCAUUAGUCCUGAAACCUAAACUUUAAUCUUAAUUUUUGAUUUUUAAUAUUUAGGGUUUACAGACCAAAGAUGAUGACCAAACACAAGAACACAUUUGCAUUUCACUAUAAAAAAAUACCAAAGAGACAAAAAUGUGCCCUAACAGUGGCAAUUUGGACCUUGGUAGUCUUCAUUGUCGCAAUAUCUCUUCUUCAAACCGACAUGAGAAAGUCAUCAUCACAAUCGCAACUCCGGUUGAACCAUCUUUCAAUAGCCAGAGAACUUGAAAAGAUUGAGCAUGAGGAGUUCCACAUGCCACCCACCAGA